UUAUGGCCAUAUCAUGUUUAAACACUGAUUCUCAUACAAUCACUACAGUUAAGCAACACUGAGCCUGAUCAAUACCUAGAUGGGUGACCACUUGGGAAUACCAGC